rnacentral:rRNA from 1 species
UCACAUCCGAGGCCUUGUAAUUGGAAUGAGUACACUUUAAAUCCUUUAACAAGGAUCAAUUGGAGGGCAAGUCUGGUGCCAGCAGCCGCGGUAAUUCCAGCUCCAAUAGCGUAUAUUAAAGUUGUUGCGGUUAAAACGUUCGUAGUUGAACUUGUGUUUCGUACGGGCAGCUACCAUAGGCCAGUUUACUGGUCCGGUAACUUGUCUUAUCUUGCCGUGGCUUUAGUCUUGGCAAAAGUGCGUGGACGUAUUAUCGGCGUGUUCGCUCUUGCAGCGUUCACAUAAGCUCAUUUCAGUCAUCUUAACCGAUUGUUGUUGUGAGCCGAUACAAAUUACUUUGAACAAAUUAGAGUGCUUAAAGCAGGCUUGUAUGCCUGAAUAUUUUGUGCAUGGAAUAAUGAAAUAGGACAUCUGUUCUACUUUCAUUGGUUUUUUAGACCAAGAUGUAAUGAUUAAUGGAAGCAGUUGGGGGCAUUAGUAUUACAACGCGAGAGGUGAAAUUCUUAGACCGUUGUAAGACUGACUAAAGCGAAAGCAUUUGCCAAAGAUGUUUUCAUUUAAUCAAGAACGAAAGUUAGAGGUUCGAAGGCGAUCAGAUACCGCCCUAGUUCUAACCAUAAACGAUGCCAGCUAGCAAUUGAGUGUAGCUACUACUAUGGCUCUUUCAGUCGCUUCUCGGGAAACCAAAGCUUUUGGGCUCCGGGGGAAGUAUGGUUGCAAAGCUGAAACUUAAAGGAAUUGACGGAAGGGCACCACCAGGAGUGGAGCCUGCGGCUUAAUUUGACUCAACACGGGAAAACUUACCAGGUCCGAACAUAAAUGAGUAAGACAGAUUG